rnacentral:rRNA from 1 species
UACGUAGGGGGCGAGCGUUGUCCGGAGUGACUGGGCGUAAAGCGCGCGCAGGCGGUUAGACACGCCGGUCGUGAAAGCCCCCGGCUCAACCGGGGCGGGUCGAUCGGGACGGUCUGACUGGAGGGUGGUCAGAGGGGGGUGGAACGGCCGCGUGGAGCAGUGAAAUGCGUAGAUAUGCGGCAGAACACCGGAGGCGAAGGCGGCCCCCUGGGCACAGUCUGACGCUGAGGCGCG